CGGACCCCUGCAAGCUGGAGCCCUCAGUCUGGAGGCCACAGACUUUGCAUUCAGAUCACCUGGGGGACAUUUAAAAAUACAGAUGCCCAGGCUGCCCACAGUGCUUGAGCCCAGGCAUCAGUAGUGUUUAAAGUUCCCAGGUGAUGGUAAUGUUCAGCCAGGACUGGGGGAGUAGCUUCCCGUCAUCUCUUUCUUCUCGAAUCUACUUUUAACCCCUGGGCUCAAAAACGGACACACCUGCCAGGGCCAAGAAGAGCGUCACAUGCAUGGAAUCACGCCACGUGCAGCCUCUUGAGCCAGCUGCUCCCUCUGCACGUGAUGCACCGUGACCCGUGCACGGUGAUCGGGUUUACUGCUGAGCAGUGCGUGCCCAACAGUCAUCAGCUCUCUGGCAGAAAGCCCCUCGGGUUGUUUCCAGUCUGGGGAGACUAUGAAGACACUAGGAGACAUUUACGUAGAGGUUUUCGUGCAAACAGAAGUUUCCCGUUUCACUUGGGGCCCCAGCACACGCAGGCAGCAGGAGGCACUCACACGCAGAAUCCCCCGCAAGCUGUUUCCUGUCUCAGGCCCCUGAGUGCAGCGUCUCCCGCUACAGGUCUCUGGCCCCCCAGGGCGGGUGCCAUGCCCCAGCCCCUCUGUGUCCCCGAUGGCCACUGCCAUGUCAGUGGCAUCGACGACUGCCACAUGAAUGAACGAAUGAAUGAAUGAGUGCGUGCAGGAGGAAGGGCUGGAUCAGAGGAAGAGAGCUGGGUGCUCAAGCCUGCAUUCCAGCAACUACAGCCCACUGUCCAAAAACGAAUGUGGCUCAGGAUCCAAAAGUUCACUCCCACUCAGGGUGCAGGCCUGAGCCCCAGGAUGGCUCAUCCUUCUCUCACCGUCUGCCCAGCAGCUAUGUCUGGCCCAGCUCUCUCCCACCCGUGCUAGGAUGCAGCAAGCGUUUGAAGCGAGGACCAUUUUUCCAUCGGACGAGGCCUCCAGCCCAGCCGGAAGGAGGUCAUCCUUCAUGCUGUCUUCACCCCGUGUGCCUGUUCUGCUGGAUUCAAGCUCCUGGCCUCUCCUCUCCCCCUCACUCUAAAACCAGCGGGCGAAACGGAUUGAGUCUGGCGAUUACGGUUCUUUCGGAGCCAGGAGCUUGCUGGGCGAGAAAGAGCUGGACUCUCAGUCCGUGGCUCCUCACAGGCAGGGAGGGGGUGUAGGAUGAGAUGCUCAACCUCAUGGCCCAGGAUGGCUG
rnacentral:lncRNA from 1 species